rnacentral:sRNA from 1 species
UUCACCUUGGAACUGCGUAAGACUCUGGACGGCGGUGAAGAUGGGCAGCCUCCUGACA